rnacentral:rRNA from 1 species
GUAUAGGUUUUAUUAUUAUUAAUAAAUUAUUAUUAAAUAAUUGUAUUUAAAUAUACAGCCACAGAAGGUGCCAGCCCUGUUAUUUAAUAAUAUUUAUUAAAUUUAUAAAACUUUAGAGUCGUGUUGCUUGGAAGUGCAGCACAAAGUUGGUGAUAAACAUCAUCUAAGGCUAAAUAUUCCUAUGAAUCCGAUAGCGAACAAGUACUGUGAAGGAAAAUUGCAAAGUACUCCGGAGAGAGAGUUAAAGAGGACGUGAAACCGAUACGAUGGAAGCAUACAGAGCCAGUUGCACUAUUAUUAAUAUUUUUUUAUUAAUAAUUUUAAGCAUGGGUAUAUUGAUUAUUAAUUAGUUAUUUAUUAAAGAGUGAUAAAAUUUUUUUAAAUUUUGUUAACUUUAAUAAAAUAAUUAUAUUUAUAAUUAAUAUUUAUUAUUAUUAAUGUAUUAAUAAUAUUUUAAUUAUUAAUAUAAUAUAAGACACAUGUGUUAAAUAUUAUUUAUUGGUAAUUAUUAUAUUAUUAUAAAUUAAUAA